CCUACGGGGGGCAGCAGUGAGGAAUAUUGGUCAAUGGACGAGAGUCUGAACCAGCCAAGUAGCGUGAAGGAUGACUGCCCUAUGGGUUGUAAACUUCUUUUAUAUGGGAAUAAAAUGUUCCACGUGUGGGAUUUUGUAUGUACCAUAUGAAUAAGGCUCGGCUAACUCCGUGCCAGCAGCCGCGGUAAUACGGAGGAUCCGAGCGUUAUCCGGAUUUAUUGGGUUUAAAGGGAGCGUAGGUGGAUUGUUAAGUCAGUUGUGAAAUUUUGCGGCUCAACCGUAAAAUUGCAGUUGAAACUGGCAGUCUUGAGUACAGUAGAGGUGGGCGGAAUUCGUGGUGUAGCGGUGAAAUGCUUAGAUAUCACGAAGAACUCCGAUUGCGAAGGCAGCUCACUGGACUGCAACUGACACUGAGGCUCGAAAGUGUGGGUAUCAAACAGGAUUAGAUACCCCUGUAGUC
rnacentral:rRNA from 1 species